rnacentral:rRNA from 1 species
GAGCUCAACUCGGGAAUUGCCUUUUGAAACCUCGGUACUAGAGUGCUGGAGAGGAAACCGGAAUUUCCAGUGUAUCGGUGAUAUGCGUAGAUAUUGGAAGGAACAUCUGAGCCGAAGCCGGCUUUCUGGACAGACACUGACGCUGAGGCGCGUAAGCCAGGGGAGCGAACGGGAUUAGAUACCCCGGUAGUCCUGGCUGUAAACGAUGAACACUUGGUCUGGGGGGUAUAAAGUCCCUCCGUGCCGAAGAUAACUCGAUAAGUGUUCCGCCUGGGGAGUACGGCCGCAAGGCUGAAACUCAAAGGAAUUGACGGGGGCCCGCACAAGCGGUGGAGCAUGUGGUUUAAUUCGGCGCAACGCGAAGAACCUUACCGGGGUUUGAACUGUACCGGCGACAUCCAGAGAUGGAUGGUUUCCUUCGGGAACUGGUAUAGAGGUGCUGCAUGGCUGUCGUCAGCUCGUGUCGUGAGAUGUUGGGUUAAGUCCCGCAACGAGCGCAACCCUUGUCUGUAGUUGCCAUCAGGUUAAGCUGGGCACUCUACGGAGGCUGUCGGCGAUAAGCCGGAGGAAGGUGGGGAUGACGUCAAGUCCUCAUGGCCUUUAUGUCCCGGGCUACACACGUGCUACAAUGGAUGGAACAGAGGGCAGCAAGCCUGCGAAGGCAAGCGAAUCCCAAAAAUCCAUUCUCAGUUCGGAUUGCAGUCUGCAACUCGACUGCAUGAAGUUGGAAUCGCUAGUAAUCGCGGAUCAGAAUGCCGCGGUGAUACGUUCCCGGGCCUUGUACACACCGCCCGUCACAUCACGAAAGUGGGCUGUACUAGAAGCCGCCGGCCUAACCUUUUAGGAGGGAGGCGUCGACGGUAUG